UAUGUCCUAUUAGCUAGUUGGCGGGAUAAAAGCCCACCAAGGCAAUGAUAGGUAGCUGGUCUAAGAGGAUGAACAGCCACAAUGGGAUUGAGAUACGGCCCAUAUUCCUACGGGAAGCAGCAGUAGGGAAUCUUCCACAAUGGACGAAAGUCUGAUGGAGCAAUGCCAUGUGAACGACGAAGGCCAGACAGGUCGUAAAGUUCUUUUAGAGGGGAAAAAUCUGAUGGUACCCUCUGAAUAAGUGACAGCAAACUAUGUGCCAGCAGCUGCGGUAAUACAUAGGUCGCGAGCGUUAUUCGGAUUUAUUGGGCGUAAAGCAAGCGCAGGCGGAUGAAUAAGUUCUGCAUUAAAAGCAGCUGCUUAACAGUUGUUUGUGCCGAAUACUAUUCAUCUAGAAUGUGGUAGAAAGUUUUGGAAUUAAAUAUGGAGCGGUGGAAUGUGUAGAUAUAUUUAAGAACACCAGAGGCGAAGGCGAAAACUUAGGCCAUUAUUGACGCUUAGGCUUGAAAGUGUGGGUAGCAAAUGGGAUUAGAUACCCCAGUAGUCCACACCGUAAACGAUGGGUAUUAGAUGUCGGGACUUGAGUUUCGGCGUUGUAGCUUACGUGUUAAAUACCCCGCCUGGGUAGUACAUAUGCAAAUAUGAAACUCAAAGGAAUUGACGGGGACCUGAACAAGUGGUGGAACAUGUUGCUUAAUUCGAUAAUACACGAAAAACCUUACCAAGGUUUGACAUCCUCUGCAAAGCUAUAGAAAUAUAGUGGAGGUUAUCAGAGUGACAGGUGGUGCAUGGUUGUCGUCAGCUCGUGUCAUGAGAUGUUUGGUUAAGUCCCGCAACGAGCGCAACCCUACUCUUUAGUUACUUGUCUAAA
rnacentral:rRNA from 1 species